rnacentral:rRNA from 1 species
CAUGAAGUCGGAAUUGCUAGUAAUCGCGGAUCAGCAUGCCGCGGUGAAUACGUUCUCGGGCCUUGUACACACCGCCCGUCACACCAUGGGAGUCGGUAACACCCGAAGUCUGUAGCCUGACGCAAGAGGGCGCAGCCGAAGGUGGGAUUGAUGACUGGGGUGAAGUCGUAACAAGGUAUC